rnacentral:rRNA from 1 species
CCUACGGGGGGCUGCAGUGAGGAAUAUUGGUCAAUGGGCGUAAGCCUGAACCAGCCAAGCCGCGUGAGGGAUGAAGGUUCUAUGGAUCGUAAACCUCUUUUAUAAGGGAGUAAAGUGUGGGACGUGUCAUGUUUUGUAUGUACCUUAUGAAUAAGGAUCGGCGAACUCCGCGCCAUCCGCCGCGGUAAGACGGAGGAUCCGAGCGUUAUCCGGAUUUAUUGGGUUUAAAGGGUGCGUAGGCGGCCUGUUAAGUCAGCGGUGAAAGUCUGUGGCUCAACCAUAGAAUUGCCGUUGAAACUGGGAGGCUUGAGUAUGUUAGAGGCAGGCGGAAUGCGUGGUGUAGCGGUGAAAUGCUUAGAUAUCACGCAGAACACCGAUGGCGAAGGCAGCCUGCCAGGCCAUGACUGACGCUGAUGCACGAAAGCGUGGGGAUCAAACAGGAUUAGAUACCCUUGUAGUC